rnacentral:lncRNA from 1 species
UUUUUUGUUACGUGGCAUGAAAUCAAACCGCAAACAUUCCAACAAUACUUUUGGUAAGGAAAUGUUCCAACAUUAUCAAAAACAAAUAAAUAAAAUAUGAUUCUUAUUCAUUCCGUCCAAAAAAUUUAAAAAUCACUUGAUUUUAUAUUUUUUAUUUAUUUUAUAAAAGUCCUUGGUUAAGAAUUAGAGAAUGGCAUCUCAUAGUUUGAUCCUACCAGUAACACAAAUUCGUCCCAACAGCCAAAUUCAGAAGCUUCAUUCUGUUUUAUAUUCCAAACUUUUGUUGUCUCCUUCACGUGUUCAUAGUACCAAAACCACAACAAGACUUUCUUCCUCAAUCAGGGUAAUGGGGNNN